AUACGGAGGAUCCGAGCGUUAUCCGGAUUUAUUGGGUUUAAAGGGUGCGCAGGCGGCCAUUUAAGUCAGCGGUUAAAUCGUGGGGCUCAACCCCAUUCUGCCGUUGAUACUGGGUGGCUUGAUUGCGGUCGAGGUUGGCGGAAUUCGUUGUGUAGCGGUGAAAUGCAUAGAUAUGACGAAGAACACCGAUUGCGUAGGCAGCUGACCAGAUCGCAAAUGACGCUCAUGCACGAAAGUGCGGGGAUCGAACAGGAUUAGAUACCCUGGUAGUCCGCACAGUAAACGAUGAAUACUUGUUUUCGGCGAUAUAAUGUCGGAGGCAAAGCGAAAGCGAUAAGUAUUCCACCUGUGGAGUACGCCGGCAACGGUGAAACUCAAAUGAAUUGACGGGG
rnacentral:rRNA from 1 species